rnacentral:rRNA from 1 species
GGUGAACGCUGGCGGCGUGCCUAAUACAUGCAAGUCGAGCGAACAGACAAUGAGCUUGCGCCCCUGACGUUAGCGGCGGACGGGUGAGUAACACGUGGAUAACCUACCUAUAUGACUGGGAUAACUUCGGGAAACCGGAGCUAAUACCGGAUAAUAUAUUGAACCGCAUGGUGCAAUAGUGAAACACGGUUUUGCUGUCACUAUUAGAUGGUUCCGCGCCGCAUUAGCUAGUUGGUAAGGUAACGGCUUACCAAGGCAACGAUGCGUAGCCGACCUGAGAGGGUGAUCGGCCACACUGGAACUGAGACACGGUCCAGACUCCUACGGGAGGCAGCAGUAGGGAAUCUUCCACAAUGGGCGCAAGCCUGACGCAGCCACGCCGCGUGGGUGAUGAAGGUCUUCGGGUUGUAAAGCUCUGUUAUUGGGAAAGAACAACUGCAUAUGUAACUCUGGAUGUCUUGACGGUACCCAAUCAGAAAGCCCCGGCUAACUACGUG